rnacentral:piRNA from 1 species
UCAAUCUAUGCUCAUCAUGCC